GGCAGCGCAGAGCGGACGCGCAGCCUGAUCGCUUGGGGGGGGUUCCCGGCGCAAUAAAAGGCUUUUAAGGGAGCAGCACCCGGCUCGUCCCAGGAGAAAGGCGGCAGCAGGGGAAAGUGUUCAAUAAUCCUGAUGAGGGUUGCACAGCUGAGUGCUGUUGCAGCACUACUUCAGAGGAGCACAUCUCUGAAUACUUAUGGAGCCUUGUCCUACAGGAAGAAGUACGUUAACAAGUUUUAUGCUCCUGAAAAAGUGAAAAAUUAUUGGAGGCAGUAGGAGUGCAAGGAGCACAGCUUUAAAAGAUGAGAGCAAUGAGGAUGGUAGAGGAAGAACACAGAAAUCUCCAGAGACACAGGUUGAAUGGUAAAGAUGUCCUGGAAGAAAAGAAUCAGUUUUACAGAACUCUCUGAAAUGGAAGGUAAUGGGAGAUAACCUGUGCAAUUUCAUGCUCAGGAGAGGGCCAGUGUGGAUCAGGUUGCUCAGGCCCAUGUCCAGUUGGGUUUCAUCAGUCUUGCAACAUGUGAACCUAAGACCAAAUCUAAGAAGGUGAAGUAAAGCUGCAAGGUCUCCUCAUUGCAGACCACUAGACACGUUUCUCCUCAAGCAAAUGGACAAAGAAGAUGGUAGAUGAAAGGAGCCUCAACUCCAUUCUGAAACACACUGGCUAGCAAAGCUGAGUCAAUUACUAGGAGUGUUGUAAUAUUCAGUUGGUGCUAUUCAGAACAGGAAUGAAACUUCAAGAUUAAGGCAAAAGAAGCACAUGGACCACCACUAGUACAAUGUAUGCAAUACCCAGAGUCAAAGACUACACCUCAAGCCAUGAGGGAACUGCUGAGCACUGAGUUUACGUCAUUGAGCUGUCCUAAAUGACAGUAGAUCUGUUUAUAGUGACAAAAGUUUUAGCAAUUAAUUUUGACUUAUCUCUUUGUUCCAUUUAAUUUAUUUCUAUUUUAUGUCUGAAUUCUAUUUUUACAGGAAACUGAACAUGAACCUUUCUUAAAAGCAGGUGGUUUCUUGAAUAGGCCUUCUCAUUUUUAAGUAUUGGGAAAGAAAUAAGACUUCCGUGGUCUCCAGACAAAUGAGACUUAGAGGUUGUAAGUCUUUGACUUUCAAGCUGACCUUUCGUUACUGCUGAGUUGCUGUCAGCCAUGCAAGGCUUGACAGAGCCAAAGCAGGAUUAGAUUUCAGAGACUUUAACCGCCAUACUCAGUGGACCAAACUCUUUAGUGCUUGACCUGAAGAGUAAUUCUAGCUUGCCACAACAUAUGGCUAUACGUAGGUCCUAAAAUCAAGUUCAUUAAAACAUUUAAAUAAACAUGACAGAAAGGAGGAAAAAGUGGAAAUAAAUGAGCAGCUGCUAACAGAAGCUGGAUUUGGCAGCUAUGUCCACUUCAAAAAGUGAUUACAUGGAUGUUUCCAUCUUUUAAAAGGGUCUUUAGUAUAAAACAGUCAAACACCAAAAGAACAAAUUAAAGAGAAGGAAAUUAAUUAAAAAUUGGAAAACUUUAAUGACUUUUGAUGUGAUUAAAGUGGACAUGUUUUGUAGAGAUUUCACCUGUUCUUUAAUUUCCUAUUCUAUCUGGCUGUGAUCUGUCCCUGCAUUGUUCUGCAGUGCAAGAUCUCGAAUCCAAGCAUGCUGUGCAACUCUCCUUUGAAAAAGACUGAAAUUAUAUGUAAUUAAUGCAACUGAUGUUUAACAUGUUUGAAGGGUCAGGAAGAAGAAAUCAGAACUCUUUCGUCUAUAAAGUCCAGGAAAUGAGACUUCAUCCACCAGCUGCAGGUGUGAUUUCAGCCCUUCAUGUUCUCAUUCUCCAGUCCUUACUGAAGCAAGCUAUCUCUUCCAAAACAGUUUAAGGUAAUAGCUGAAUAAAGCAUAACCUUCCCAGGAAAUUUCAGGACUUUAUUAUCUGCUCAUAGACAAAAGCCAGAAAUACAAAGACAGAUAAUGAUAGUAAUAAUAAUAAUAAUAAUAAUAAACCAGCAGGCAAAGAAUAAAAACAAAUCUCUUUUUUAUUAAAGCCUCUCAGGGAAGGAGAUAGACCCAAGUGAAAAUCUGAAUUUUCCCCUAAUCGCUAAGAAAUUUUUGUAUAGCUCAGGAAGAUUUCAUGUGUAAGAAAUGAAGUCUAGGUUUCAAAUCUAAAUUCCUUAUUUUGGACGUGCAUCUAGUUGGAAGUUUACACUUGGUUGUUCCUUGGAUUAAAAUAUAGUUCAGUUAUAUUGAGAGUAUUCUGUCCUUUCCUGAUUUGUUGUGGUUUAACCUAGCAGAUAGGUAAACACCACACAGACAUUUACUUCCUCCCUUUCCGUGGGAGAAUAUUGAAAAGCACAAGAACUCAUGCAUUCGGUUAAGGAUAGUUUAAUAAGAAAGAGGUAAGAAAAUGAGAUAGUAACAAUAAAAAAAAAAAAAAAAAAACACAACUGAAAGAAAACAACAACAAACACUACAAAUAAAGCAACUGAUGAGCAAUGUAAUUACUCAUUGAUCAACCAGUCCUCUAGCAGUGGCAUAUGCCAAAGCCAACUCCUUUAGUUCUCUGUUUCAGCGUGGCAUCAUAUGGUAGGGGAUAACCGUUUGUCCAGUUUGGGUCAGCUCUCCUGGUUUUAUGGCCUUCCCUCUCCUUGUGCAUUCCCAUCUCCUCACUGUGUGCAGUAUGGGAAGCUGAAAAGUCCUUGACUUAACAUAAAUUCUGCUCAGCAGCAGCUACAACAUUGGUGUGUUAUUAGCAUUAUUCUCAUCCUAAAUCCAAACCACAGAGUCAUCCCAGGCACUAGGAAGCUCAGCAUAAGAAAAUGUCUUUUUGUCCCCCCCUAAAAAAUUAAAUAAGCUCUCAAAGAAAAUAAAACAAUCUUCAAGCUUCUGGUAGUGGAUCAAAAAUGCUGAAGGCACAUGUUACUAAGUACAGAACUGGUACAUGUUCAUACUGCUGCUUCGAAUUUUUUCUAAAUAUUUUGAUAAGGCAGUUUUGUUCUGGCAGACUCAGGAUCAGAUCAAGUAUCAUCUGUUCUGCAGCUACACAAAGGCAGCCCAAGCACCAUAUGGUGUGCUCUGGCACAGCACUCAUGGCAUAGCAGAAAUAUAACCAAGCAGUCACACCAGACCUAGAUCAGAUUCCUAUUGCUUUUGAGUGUAUAAAUCAACUAUCAAUGAAUAUGGAACCACUAUGUGCCAUUGUUUUGAAAUAAAUACCCCUCCAAUACCAAGUAUUAGCCUUAAUGUUUACAAGGAAACUAUUUGUACGGAUGCCCAUGUGUACACAUUGGACACUGAUGUUUUCUUAGAACUUUCUGGCCAAUGUCCAAUUAAUUUUUGCUGCAAAAUGUAUAUUUGAUAACUUAUUUUACUGUGAUCUUUCCUCAGAAAAUUUAUUUCAGUCCUAUGGGAGUAAAAUUCAUUAAAUACUAAAUAAGUAGUGCAUAAUGCUGCCCACAGGGUUUGCACAGGUACUUGCUGUAUCUCCUUUUCUGCUUCCAUAUAUAUAAAAAGUGUCCAUAUGUUUCUACUUGCUGUUCAGAAAAGGAGGCUAAUGAAAUAAGGAUAAAGUUUUUAGAUCUCUAUAAUCAGAUAUAUCUUUCAGAUAAUUUAUAUGUAGUCAUUUUCAAAUUUCUAAAAGUUCUCUGAGAAAGAGAUAGAAUUUUUAAGAUUUCUAAGAAAGUAAAAUUGGAGAAGAUUCAUUUUAAUUUUUUUUUUAAACACAGUUUUGUGGAAAAUAAAUAUUUGUUUCAAGCUUUUAAAAACUUUAAUCUUCUAAGAAACUAAAGAGAAAUUCUUAGUUAAAAAGAUAUUUCAAAGAGAUCCUUAAAAAUAUUUAAACAUCUAUUAUUUUCUUAAUAAGUUAAAUGUGCACUUGGAAAGCAAUUCCAUAAUGCAAAGCAAUUCCAUAAUGCUAAGCAUGCUUUUUUUUUUUUUUUUCUCUCCUAUGGAACAUCUAUUUAUUCUACUCUAAUCAGUUCACACCUGUGCAAAAUGAGUGUACGCAGAUGUAUAAAGCUUCUGUUAUAAUGUGGUUUGGCUUCCACUCACAGGGGAGAUCUCAGCUCCAAGAAUGUCAGAGAUUUUCUCAGACUCAUUUCUUCACACCUAAUUCAUGCUUCAUCUUUAAGAAUCGGUGAUUUCACACUGCUCUAAAUGUUGCUACUCCUACUGGUACAACUGCCAGAUCAUUCACAUUAAACAUUCUUACUAUCACAACAAUUCAGAAUUUUUUACUUUAUCAAGGGCCAAAAUAAUGGUUCAUGCCCUUGGUAUUUCCUGUCUAGACUACUAUAUUGGUCUUUUGGACACAUUUCCUGCUUUUUCCAUAGUUGUUUUAAAACCAAAAUGUACAAAACUCUGUAGAUUGUUUCUUACUUUUUUAAGGUCUUGAGAAGAUGAUAGAUUUUUUUCUUGGCUCGAAGUACUGGAAGACUGUAUCCCCAGUCAGAAAUCUAUCCUUUAUUUAUUCUUGAGUUAUGAUUACAUGAGAAAGCAGGAACUUGUUCUGGAAGUUAAUGUACAAUAGAAUCUCCUUUAGAUAAUGACGAGCUUGCAGCAACAGCCUCUGCAGAAUUCUAAUCAUGUUGUAGAGAUGAAAGAUGACAACUCCCUGCAUUCAACCAGUCAGUAGAGACACUGAGAGGUCAAAUAUUCAGGUGAGUUUCAUUCGCUAUUUUAUUCUGACUGUACUAGAGUUAGCUGCCCCAUCUAAAUUAACCACAUCAUCUCUGUUCUGGUCAUGAGAAGAUCAGAGGAUGUGUUUGCAUCUCCAGGUAGUUAUCCAUCUGAAUUGUUGUAGAUGUUUUUUGAAAUGCAUCAUAAAGAGCUUCUACAUGAUGACUGUUUCAGAGGGUCUCUAAGCUUAGACUGAAUGAUGAGUUAGAAUCCAUGGAAUAGAUAGAUGUUAUUAACUGAUUUUCUUGUUUCAGGUUUUUUUUUUGUUUUUUUUUGUUUUUUUUUUUUAGUGGACAGUGAUUUAUUUCCCAUACUUCUUCCCCUGAUAUUUUGCUGUUGGACUACUCAGAAAACUGUGACCCCGCUGUUACUCAUGGACACCACACUGCAUUCUCAUUUGCGCUGGGAACAUAUUCUGCUUCAUGGCCCGUGUGAUUUUCUUACAUCUGGGAUUUCAACUAAGUACCUUUGUUCUUCUAUAAUCACGAAUUUUAUUUUAUUCAGUUUCAUAUUUGACAUGUUUUUAUACAGACAGUGUUAUUCAUGCAUGUUUCCUAACCAGUACUCCAACAAAGCUCAAGUGUUCUGUUGAUACUAUUGUGAACAGUUUUUAACAAAGAUUUUUGGAAACUUUCCAAUAAAAAUGCAACAGAAGCAGACAAGGAGAGGUUAGGCAAACAGUGCUGCAUUAUACAUGACCACAUAUAAUACUGUACUCAAGAAAGGCUAAAGAAAUAUAUUUGCUCAAAGGGACCAUUUAUGGGAAGUAAUGGUAAUAAACACAAGUAAAUAUUUGAGAAUCAUCUUUAGUUUAAAGAAACAGCAAAGACCAAUGCCACCCCUACUACAGAUGAUCUUGUCUCAUUACAAUACUUUCUAUUUUUCAAACGUGUGUGAAACAAAUGUUGCUUCAAAAAUAAUACUUUAAAAUGCUUUCACAAAUAAAGAAUUUAUUCUAAAUCUCUGUCAGUAUUGGUAAAUACAAAAUAAGGUUGAUAACUGAUUAAGGCUCUGCAUGUUUUAUUGUUUGAGAUUGCUAUAAGUAAAGAAUUGUGGCUGUCUUAUGCUAUUCUAGAAAACAUUCAGCAGUCUUGUCUAAACUGCAGUGACAUACACUAUUUUUAUCUACUCCCUUCUUCUUUCAGAGAUUUUUUAUUUACCUUGUCAGAUCGGCAAGCAAGAAUUCUCCAUGUUCCUUUCUCUGUGAAGAUAUCUGCCAAGUCCUCACUCCCUGUAUUGGGAUAGAGAUGCAUCAAAAGUUGAAACCUGGGCUUCCAGGAAAUGGAGAUUUUCUCCAGCAAGCUCAUCACUAUUUAUAUAUUAAUAACAUCUGAGCAACAUGCUCUGGAUAUAUACCAGAUUUACCUCUUUACUUCACAUCUUCUUUGAAUCCUGAAUUUCCCAUGAUUAUAACAUCAAUAGAGAAUUUGUCAGAGCUUGCUUUGCAGUUCUAUUUCUCCAGUACCGAUUUCCAUGCAUUAGUAAUAUGUGAUAUACAUGUAUUUCAACUCUAAUAAUAAAUUUCAAAUGCAUUUUCAUCAUCACAUCUCUUCACCCCCUCUCAGUAUAGAAUAUAAUAUUUCGCCCCUCAGCUGCUCUGCUUUUUUAACUCUCUUCUAGAUGUUGCACAACAAUUAUAAGAAGUAUAUUUGUGUUUAAUUUUAAAAUUCUGAAUGAAAACCAGUAACAUUAAUACAGAAAUUAAUACUUUUAGAAGUUACAAUAACACAUCUUUAUUUGAAAUAAGUUAGUAGAAUCUUAGUAGUGUUACCCUCAAAAAAGCUAUGAGAUCCUAUAGUUUGGUAAAACAAUUACUGAACUUUUGUAACUUCCAACAAGCCACUGUAAAAGUAGGGUUUUUUUUUUUUUUUUUUU